rnacentral:tRNA from 1 species
GCCGACGUGGCUCAGUGGUAGAGCAGCUGAUUCGUAAUCAGCAGGUCGUGAGUUCAAAUCUCAUCGUCGGCUCCA